CCGCACUGCUAAGUGACAGGUUGGCCCUUCCAUUGGCCCUCCAGUCUCAUUCCGGUGCUAGAUCAACCUCAGUUUGCAGAAGGGCUGCGCUAGACUACUGGCUCCUCCCUUUCGAAGGCUGAGAACACAC